AUGGGUGACUAGUGGCAGAGUGAGGGAGGGAAGGGGUGACUAGUGACAGAGUGAGGGGAUGACUGGUGACAGAGUGAGGGGGGGGUGACUGUCACUAGUCACCCCAUCCCUCUCUCUGUCACUAGUCACUCCCUCCCUAACUCUGUCACUGUGUCACCCACUCCCUCACUCUGUCACUAGUCACCCCCUCCCUCACUCUGUCACUAAUCACCCCCUCUCUCCCUAGUCACCCCCUUCCUCACUCUGUCACUAGUCACUCCAU